rnacentral:misc_RNA from 1 species
GUUUAUAGGAGCACCACCAUAGGCAACAACCACCCUGACGCCAGUUUGAUAUGAAAACUUUUUAGCCUCGUCAUGAAUUUGGCAUGAGAGCUCCCUAGUCGGGGAGAGAAUAAGAGCUAGAGGAAAUGCCAUACGUGGACGAGGAGGUCUAGGAAAUUGGCCCCUCAUGAUCCCACUUAUGAUUGGGAAGCAGAAAGCAGCAGUUUUUCCAGAACCAGUCUGAGCACAAGCCAUCAAAUCCCUCCCUGCGAGUGAAAUAGGUAUAGCAUGCCGUUGCACAGGGGUCGGCUUAACAUACUUGCACCUCCUUAUAUUUUCAUUGACAGCUUCACCUAAAUCAAUCUCUGCAAAAGUAUUCACAGGAGGGGGCACAUUAUCCCCGCUUGUUUCCACUGGAAUAUCCUCA